CCUACGGGAGGCAGCAGUGGGGAAUAUUGGACAAUGGGCGAAAGCCUGAUCCAGCAAUGCCGCGUGAGUGAUGAAGGCCUUCGGGUCGUAAAGCUCUUUUACCAGGGAUGAUAAUGACAGUACCUGGAGAAUAAGCUCCGGCUAACUCCGUGCCAGCAGCCGCGGUAAUACGGAGGGAGCUAGCGCUGUUCGGAAUUACUGGGCGUAAAGAGUACGUAGGCGGUUAUUCAAGUCAGAGGUGAAAGCCCGGGGCUCAACCCCGGAACUGCCUUUGAAACUAGAUAACUAGAGUCUUGGAGAGGUUAGUGGAAUUCCGAGUGUAGAGGUGAAAUUCGUAGAUAUUCGGAAGAACACCAGUGGCGAAGGCGACUAACUGGACAAGUACUGACGCUGAGGUACGAAAGCGUGGGGAGCAAACAGGAUUAGAUACCCUGGUAGUCCACGCCGUAAACGAUGAUAACUAGUUGUUCGGUCACUUGGUGACUGAGUGACGCAGCUAACGCAUUAAGUUAUCCGCCUGGGGGUAGGUACGGUCGCGAGAGUAAACUACGAAGAAGUAGACGCGUGAGAGUUGCGAGACGACGACGAGGAGAGG
rnacentral:rRNA from 1 species